AUUGAACGCUGGCGGCAUGCCUUACACAUGCAAGUCGAACGGUAACAGGCCGCAAGGUGCUGACGAGUGGCGAACGGGUGAGUAAUGCAUCGGAACGUGCCCAGUCGUGGGGGAUAACUGCUCGAAAGAGCAGCUAAUACCGCAUACGACCUGAGGGUGAAAGCGGGGACCGUAAGGCCUCGCGCGAUUGGAGCGGCCGAUGUCAGAUUAGCUAGUUGGUGGGGUAAAUGCCUACCAAGGCAACGAUCUGUAGUUGGUCUGAGAGGACGACCAGCCACACUGGGACUGAGACACGGCCCAGACUCCUAAGGGAGGCAGCAGUGGGGAAUUUUGGACAAUGGGCGCAAGCCUGGUCCAGCAAUGCCGCGUGCAGGAAGAAGGCCUUCGGGUUGUAAACUGCUUUUGUCAGGGAAGAAAUCUUCUGGGCUAAUACCCCGGGAGGAUGACGGUACUUGAAGAAUAAGCACCGGCUAACUACGUGCCAGCCGCCGCCGUAAGAC
rnacentral:rRNA from 1 species